rnacentral:lncRNA from 1 species
ACCAGAAUAUGCCUUACCAUAGCAUGAAGGACUGUUGAGCUGAAGGCAUCUAAGAAGAAACAGAUACAGCAGAGCUCUCUGCCCUCCCUUUAUUUGCCUGAAAGCAGGACAUAGAUUUAUAAACACAAAAGCUCCAAGAAAUGGAAUUUUAUUAAAAGAUGGAAGAGGAGGAUAUUUGAGAGAAGGGUAACUACCUAAUACUGAAAACUAAUACAGUCCAGGAUACAUAGAAGAUGAUCAAUAACACUUAUUCAAUCUAAAUUACCCUAUCAGCAAGUGGAGAAUUCUCUCUCGGGAUUGCUGUUUUCUUUCCUGCCAGUCAGCUCUGUCAGGUUGAAUAGAAAGUGAUAAAUAAAG